GAAGGAAGAAGUUUAAAGAGUGGCUCAAUCAAAUCAUGAAACUAGGCAAGUGGAAAAUUGCAUUUUGUUGCUUUGAAUUAGUUACCAAAGUGUCAACUUCAGCAAAGCCUCAGCAAGAUUGGUAAUGAUUAAGCACCCAUGAGCAUGUACCAUUUGUAUUAUUCUGUUCUUAAAUAUAGACCUGAGAAGAGGAAAAAAAAAUGGGUAAAGAGUGUGCGCUUCUGUCAGGGCAAUGACUCCGGGGCAGAAGAGGCUGAAAGAAAGGACCAAUGCAGGGAGGAAAAAAAAUUGCCCAACUCCUUCCAGGGAAUGUAGAUGAAAACAUAUAGACACUAUUGGGAGAAAAUUUGGGGCAGUGAUCUGACUAUGAACUGUUUUGAUAAGAUGAAUGACCAGAACUCCCAAUACUACUUGAGUAGAAUCUUCUCCUGUCACUACAAAAAGAGGCUGUGAAGACACUGUUUGAACUCAGACCAUCACAAAAGAACAGUAUGAUUAUUGACUUUCAAUGAGUUUCUUACAAUUUUAUACCUAAUUACUAUGCUGUACAAUAAUGAUUAUGUAGACCGUUAAAUGUUUCAUUAACAUUUUAUGUCUUUUAUUUGAUUAGUACACCAAAUUCUACUCAUGUGUGCUCUGUGUGCAUAGUUUCUUAAACAUGCAACAAGGUUUUCUGCCCACAGAGCUUGAUCGCCCCUGGUUUAGACAUAAAAUUGAAUAAUAUGUAGUCUGUUUUUUUUAAAUCUCCUUUUUAUAGCCUUACGUUGGAGUGUAGAGUAGGAACUACCAGAAAAAAAGUUACCAGAAAUUCCACAUUAGAAUGUAAUAAAUACUAAUCUAAGUAUUUUAAGAAAAUGAAUAUUCUGGAUAUUUGAAUAGAUGGAUUGAGUCUUUUGGCAACUCAGCUCCAGAACUUACCAGCAUGUAGCAUGAGUAGGAAUGUUCUCAUUCUGAGUUAUGCAGUUCAGUUAAAUUUAGGGUGUGUUAGCUGGCAGCAUGCAUUAAUAGUGGUGACAACAAAUAGAAGGAUGUCUUUCUAAACAACGUAAGGUAACCUGGGCUUGAGAACUUUAUAAUACUUUAUUCAUUCUCUUUAACAAAUAUAAAAGAUACAACUCUAUAUUAUAGAUAAAA
rnacentral:lncRNA from 1 species